rnacentral:rRNA from 1 species
CCUACGGGCGGCAGCAGUGAGGAAUAUUGGUCAAUGGACGAGAGUCUGAACCAGCCAAGUAGCGUGAAGGAUGACUGCCCUAUGGGUUGUAAACUUCUUUUAUAAAGGAAUAAAACGAGGCACGUGUGCCUUUUUGCAUGUACUUUAUGAAUAAGGAUUGGCUAACUCCGUGCCAGCAGCCGCGGUAAUACGGAGGAUCCGAGCGUUAUCCGGAUUUAUUGGGUUUAAAGGGAGCGUAGAUGGGUUGUUAAGUCAGUUGUGAAAGUUUGCGGCUCAACCGUAAAAUUGCAAUUGAUACUGGCAGUCGUGAGUACAGUUGAGGUAGGCGGAAUUCGUGGUGUAGCGGUGAAAUGCUUAGAUAUCACGAAGAACCCCGAUUGCGAAGGCAGCUUACUAAACUGUGACUGACAUUGAUGCUCGAAAGUGUGGGUAUCAAACAGGAUUAGAUACCCUUGUAGUC